CUACUUUAUUUCAAACUCAACAAGAAAUAUAUAACAUACGAUAACCAACUUAAUAAGAUGCAUAAGAUCACCAUGUCAAUCCUCUGUGUUGUCGUUCUUGUCGUUUGCCUACCCGAAAUACAAUCGACACCCGCGGUUCAACAGAGGAAUGAGCGAAAUUCUAUAACUGCUUCCUUAAAGAAAGAUGCCACUGCUUCAGAGAAAACAGAGGCAGUAGAAGACGAUGUCGCAGACACGAGCAUAGAAGAUGUGAAUGAUGAAUCUGCAGAUAGCAGCAAUGCGGUGACAAGCUUAUUCCAAUUGUUUUUUAUGCGCUUUGGGUGAAAUAUACAC